GGCGAACGGAAAUGAGGGCUUUGGUACACGGGAACCCCUCUAAUCGGCCUCGUCAAGAAACAGAGUUCUUCGCAGGAGAGCCCUUGAUGGAGGUGGUGCUUGAGCGAAUGGAAGACAUCAGCGCCGUGUCGGAGCCGCCGUGGAGGAGGUGGCGGUGAAAAUACUGAUUCGAGGGGGAGGAAUUAUCUUGUGGGAAUAAUGUUUAGAAUAAUUAGAGGAGUUGUUUGAGGAAGGCUUGGCAACGUCGGCCAUUGAAGAGGAGAUAAAAUUGAUGAAGUUUCUUGAAUUGAGGGCUAUUCUCCAGAACGCCAUAUCCACCACCUCAUCUUCAUCGGAAGUUCUUCUCCAGCUGCUUGAAGAAGACGAGGAUUGAAG
rnacentral:lncRNA from 1 species